rnacentral:rRNA from 1 species
AUUGAACGCUGGCGGCAUGCUUUACACAUGCAAGUCGAACGGCAGCGCAGUCUUCGGCCUGGCGGCGAGUGGCGGACGGGUGAGUAAUGCAUCAGAACGUGCCCAGUAGUGGGGGCUAGCCCGGCGAAGGCCGGAAUAAUACCGCAUACGACCUGACGGUGAAAGCGUGGGACCGAAAGGCCUCGCGCUAUUGGACCGGCCGAUGUCGGAUUAGCGAGUUGGUGGGGUAAAGGCUUACCAAGGCGACGAUCCGUAGCUGGUCUGAGAGGACGACCAGCCACACUGGGACUGAGACACGGCCCAGACUCCUACGGGAGGCAGCAGUGGGGAAUUUUGGACAACGGGGGCAAGCCUGAUCCAGCCAUGCCGCGUGCGGGAAGAAGGCCUUCGGGUUGUAAACCGCUUUUGUUCGGGAAGAAAACCUCUAGGCUAAUACCCCGGGGGGAUGACGGUACCGGAAGAAUAAGCACCGGCUAACUACGUG